AAAUCGCUAGUAAUCGCGGAUCAGCAGGCCGCGGUGAAUACGUUCUCGGGUCUUGUACACACCGCCCGUCAAGCCAACAAAGUCGGGAGUGCCUGAAGUGUCGCAUUUAGCGGCCCCAAGGCAAUAUCGGCGAUGGGGACUAAGUCGUAACAAGGUAUCCGUUCUGGAAGGAGCGGAUGGAUCACCUCCUUU
rfam:Microgenomates (Curtissbacteria) bacterium GW2011_GWA2_41_24 TT56_C0005, whole genome shotgun sequence.